GAUGAAGAACGUAGCGAAAUGCGAUACUUGGUGUGAAUUGCAGAAUCCCGUGAACCAUCGAGUCUUUGAACGCAAGUUGCGCCCGAAGCCAUUAGGCCGUGGGCACGCCUGCCUGGGCGUCACACGUCGUUGCCCCCCCAUCUACUCCUUCGGGAUUGCGGGGGGCGGAUGAUGGCCUCCCGUGCGCCUCGUCGCGCGGUUGGCAUAAAUGCCAAGUCCUCGGCGACGCACGCCACGACAAUCGGUGGUUGCGAAACCUCGGUUGCCCGUCGUGUGCGGUCGUCGCGCAUCGAGGGCUCGAAAAAAUUGCCGGGCUCCGGCUCGGCUUUCAACGCGACCCCAGGUCAGGCGGGGUUACCCGCUGAAUUUAAGCAUAUCAAUAAGCGGAGGA
rnacentral:misc_RNA from 1 species